CAGGUACAACAGAUAGCAACUUGAUAUAUUUCAAGAGGAAAGUCCGAGCUGCUAUAAGACAGUGUUCCAUUUAACUAAUGGCCGUAGUAAUGCGAGGGAAAGUGCAACAGAGAGCAGACUUCCAUUUUUAGUUUACUAAAAGUGGUAAAGGUGAAAGGGUGGGGUAAGAGCCCACCAGUCUUUAUAGCAAUAUAGAGAGCUUGUAAACCCAACAUGGCAGCAAGAAACAGGUGGUCAGCGUCUUAAUGGUGAAGCUUCGGCUUCGCUUAUGCUACUGUUUCGCUAGAGUUACUAUGUAAAUAGUAAAGUAGAUUAAUGCUAUCAAAACAAAACUCGGCUUAUAGUUGUACCUAACUA
rnacentral:RNase_P_RNA from 1 species